rnacentral:rRNA from 1 species
UGCAGUCGAGCGAUGAAACCCUUCGGGGUGGAUUAGCGGCGGACGGGUGAGUAACACGUGGGUAACCUGCCUCAAAGAGGGGGAUAGCCUCCCGAAAGGGAGAUUAAUACCGCAUAACAUUAGUUUUUCGCAUGAAGAACUAAUUAAAGGAGUAAUCCGCUUUGAGAUGGACCCGCGGCGCAUUAGCUAGUUGGUGAGGUAAAGGCUCACCAAGGCGACGAUGCGUAGCCGACCUGAGAGGGUGAUCGGCCACAUUGGAACUGAGACACGGUCCAGACUCCUACGGGAGGCAGCAGUGGGGAAUAUUGCACAAUGGGCGAAAGCCUGAUGCAGCAACGCCGCGUGAGUGAUGAAGGCCUUCGGGUUGUAAAGCUCUGUCUUUUGGGACGAUAAUGACGGUACCAAAGGAGGAAGCCACGGCUAACUACGUGCCAGCAGCCGCGGUAAUACGUAGGUGGCGAGCGUUGUCCGGAUUUACUGGGCGUAAAGGAUGCGUAGGCGGAUAUUUAAGUGAGAUGUGAAAUACCCGAGCUUAACUUGGGUGCUGCAUUUCAAACUGGAUAUCUAGAGUGUGGGAGAGGAGAAUGGAAUU